AUGAACGCUGGCGGCGUGCCUAAUACAUGCAAGUCGAGCGAACAGACGAGGAGCUUGCUCCUCUGACGUUAGCGGCGGCCGGGUGAGUAACACGUGGAUAACCUACCUAUAAGACUGGGAUAACUUCGGGAAACCGGAGCUAAUACCGGAUAAUAUAUUUAACCGCAUGGUUCAAUAGUGAAAGACGGUUUUGCUGUCACUUAUAGAUGGAUCCGCGCCGCAUUAGCUAGUUGGUAAGGUAACGGCUUACCAAGGCAACGAUGCGUAGACGACCUGAGAGGGUGAUCGGCCACACUGGAACUGAGACACGGUCCAGACUCCUACGGGAGGCAGCAGUAGGGAAUCUUCCGCAAUGGGCGAAAGCUUGACGGAGCAACGCCGCGUGAGUGAUGAAGGUCUUCGGAUCGUAAAACUCUGUUAUUAGGGAAGAACAAAUGUGUAAGUAACUAUGCACGUCUUGACGGUACCUAAUCAGAAAGCCACGGCUAACUACGUG
rnacentral:rRNA from 1 species